AGCGAACGCUGGCGGCAGGCCUAACACAUGCAAGUCGAACGAAGUCUUCGGACUUAGUGGCGGACGGGUGAGUAACACGUGGGAACGUACCUUUUGGUUCGGAACAACUCAGGGAAACUUGAGCUAAUACCGGAUGAGCCCUUAGGGGGAAAGAUUUAUCGCCGAAAGAGCGGCCCGCGUUAGAUUAGCUAGUUGGUGAGGUAAAGGCUCACCAAGGCUACGAUCUAUAGCUGGUCUGAGAGGAUGAUCAGCCACACUGGGACUGAGACACGGCCCAGACUCCUACGGGAGGCAGCAGUGGGGAAUCUUGCGCAAUGGGCGAAAGCCUGACGCAGCCAUGCCGCGUGAAUGAUGAAGGUCUUAGGAUUGUAAAGUUCUCUCACCGGGGACGAUAAUGGCGGUACCCGGAGAAGAAGCCCCGGCUAACUUCGUGCCAGCCGCCGCGGUAACAC
rnacentral:rRNA from 1 species